GCUGCGGGCCAAGGCCCGGGAGCAGCGGGCCGGGGUUGGCGCGAUGCUGUUCCCGGGAAGGAUUGUUGACUACCGGUGAGGAAGGUGAAGCACGGAGUUGCCUUUCUGGGCCCCCGGCGCUCCCUAUGUACACCUCCCUGGGCUCGGGUCCGGUCGCCGCUUUGCCCGCUUCAGUACCACCCUCAACUCUCGGGUCCUGGGGCUCCGGCAGCGGCAGGGGCUGUGUCCGGCAGGAGAGGAAGCGCACAGGCGGCGCCCGUGCUUCUGGCCGCGGGGCGAGCGUCUAGCAGGUCCAAGGGUAGCCAAGGAUGGCUGCAGCUUCAUAUGAUCAGUUGUUAAAGCAAGUUGAGGCACUGAAGAUGGAGAACUCAAAUCUUCGACAAGAGCUAGAAGAUAAUUCCAAUCAUCUUACAAAACUGGAAACUGAGGCAUCUAAUAUGAAGGAAGUACUUAAACAACUACAAGGAAGUAUUGAAGAUGAAGCUAUGGCUUCUUCUGGACAAAUUGAUUUAUUAGAGCGUCUUAAAGAACUUAACUUAGAUAGUAAUUUCCCUGGAGUGAAACUACGAUCAAAAAUGUCCCUCCGUUCUUAUGGAAGCCGAGAAGGAUCUGUAUCAAGUCGUUCAGGAGAGUGCAGUCCUGUUCCUAUGGGCUCAUUUCCGAGAAGAGGGUUUGCAAAUGGAAGCAGAGAAAGUAGUGGAUAUUUAGAAGAACUUGAGAAAGAGAGAUCAUUACUUCUUGCUGAUCUUG